rfam:Flavobacterium psychrophilum JIP02/86 complete genome
CUUUAGCCCUGAUGGAAGUGGAAAUCCUCGCCAUUUUUCUUGGCGAGAUUGUAACGUACAGCAGGUAUAUGA